CCUACGGGGGGCUGCAGUGGGGAAUAUUGGACAAUGGGGGCAACCCUGAUCCAGCCAUGCCGCGUGUGUGAAGAAGGCCCUCGGGUUGUAAAGCACUUUCAGUGAGGAAGAACGCCUGGUGGUUAAUACCCAUCAGGAAAGACAUCACUCACAGAAGAAGCACCGGCUAACUCCGUGCCAGCAGCCGCGGUAAUACGGAGGGUGCGAGCGUUAAUCGGAAUUACUGGGCGUAAAGCGCGCGUAGGUGGCUUGAUAAGCCGGUUGUGAAAGCCCCGGGCUCAACCUGGGAACGGCAUCCGGAACUGUCAAGCUAGAGUGCAGGAGAGGAAGGUAGAAUUCCCGGUGUAGCGGUGAAAUGCGUAGAGAUCGGGAGGAAUACCAGUGGCGAAGGCGGCCUUCUGGACUGACACUGCCACUGAGGUGCGAAAGCGUGGGUAGCAAACAGGAUUAGAUACCCCGGUAGUC
rnacentral:rRNA from 1 species